UCUUCAUUUCACGCGCUCUCUCACCGGUCAGAGUGACGAGAGAGUAUGGGAAAUGAAGAGA
rfam:Pristionchus pacificus strain PS312 contig6838, whole genome shotgun sequence.